rnacentral:rRNA from 1 species
GAUGAACGCUGGCGGCGUGCCUAAUACAUGCAAGUCGAGCGAACAGAUAAGGAGCUUGCUCCUUUGACGUUAGCGGCGGACGGGUGAGUAACACGUGGGUAACCUACCUAUAAGACUGGGAUAACUUCGGGAAACCGGAGCUAAUACCGGAUAAUAUUUCGAACCGCGUGGUUCGAUAGUGAAAGAUGGUUUUGCUAUCACUUAUAGAUGGACCCGCGCCGUAUUAGCUAGUUGGUAAGGUAACGGCUUACCAAGGCGACGAUACGUAGCCGACCUGAGAGGGUGAUCGGCCACACUGGAACUGAGACACGGUCCAGACUCCUACGGGAGGCAGCAGUAGGGAAUCUUCCGCAAUGGGCGAAAGCCUGACGGAGCAACGCCGCGUGAGUGAUGAAGGUCUUCGGAUCGUAAAACUCUGUUAUUAGGGAAGAACAUACGUGUAAGUAACUGUGCACGUCUUGACGGUACCUAAUCAGAAAGCCACGGCUAACUACGU